rnacentral:lncRNA from 1 species
GCUUAGUAACCCUGCACUGACUGGGGGCUGUUGCUCUCAGAGCUAUACCCGGGAGGAACCUGCGUGUGAAUGAGACGGCUGUCAGCAAGCCUACACUCAAAGGAUUUACCCGGUGCAGAGAGCUCCAAGAGAACACCAGAGCCCCUGGUAUUCUGGUUCACUUGAAUUUGUCCUCCUGCCUAUUCCAUAUUUUUUUCACACAUAUAAUCAUUUGUUUGCAGUCCGGAAAUAUAAAACCAUUCAAGAAACGGAGGCCCAACUAUUGGUCACCAGCUCGAACAGACCCUUCUUGCUCUGUCCCAAGGACAAAGAAGAUGGCUGCUGCGUUCCCCUCUGUGAAGAAUUUGCUGGCCUUUGAAAGAAACGGUCAGUAGAAGAUUCACUGGAUAGUGAAAUUCUUUGUGCCUGGGAUGUGUUCAGUCUGCUUUUCUGCUGCACCAGGAAAGAAGGUCCAGUGUCUUAUUUCAUUCUGGAGCUUUUUGAAACUUUUUACUCUGUACUUUAAUUUUGGCAACCUUGGACUGAUGGGGUUUGUAGAUAUUAAUUAUCAAAUUGUUAUUUAUUAGCUGAUAUUCUUUCAAUUCAAUAAAUAUUUUAAAUCCCU